CAUAAAUAGAAGGAAAGUUGCAUUCAGAAAUAAAGACUUUAAAGAACUGAAAUUGACAGAAAAAGAAUUAAAAGGUAAAAUGAGGAAAGCAAAAUAAUUUCAUAGACAAAAGUAACACCUAUGUUAAUGAAUGAUGUGCCUAAUAACCUUUUAUCCACUGCACUAAUUGUACCGUCCGCCAGGUGGCACCAACACAACGCCAUUUAAAUGUGUUCCAGGUGUUCACUGUUGCCUACAGCAGCACCAGCAGCUCUCAAUAACAAUAACAAGCAGAGAACGGAUUUUGGAACUUGGUAUUCCGGGGAUUUGUGAGGACAGAAGUAAAGAGACAAGCUUCCAGGCCUGGAACCAAUUAAAGCAGGAGAAGCCCCUCCACAAGUCCACCAGAGGCGCUUUCGGCAUGGAGACAGAGGCAGGUGCUACUCUGGAGAAGUAAUCAACAGCACCUCUGUUCUAAGGUGAGAUGGGAAACUUUGGAGAGUGCUGGAUCACACUUGUCUGACAGGCAGGCGUGUGAAAGAAAUGUAAAGCGGUCUCAGAAUUCUCCUUUGAGAUAUUUUUGGACUUGUACUACAAAAAC
ensembl:lncRNA